rnacentral:rRNA from 1 species
UACACACCGCCCGUCACACCACGAAAGUUUGUCGUACCUGAAGUCGUUGGCGCCAACCGCAAGGAGGCAGACGCCCACGGUAUGACCGAUGAUUGGGGUG